UACGGGAGGCAGCAGUGGGGAAUAUUGCACAAUGGGCGCAAGCCUGAUGCAGCCAUGCCGCGUGUAUGAAGAAGGCCUUCGGGUUGUAAAGUACCUUCAGUCGUGAGGAAGGUGUUAAGGUUAAUAACCUUAGCAAUUGACGUUAGCGACAGAAGAAGCACCGGCUAACUCCGUGCCAGCAGCCGCGGUAAUACGGAGGGUGCGAGCGUUAAUCGGAAUUACUGGGCGUAAAGGGCACGCAGGCGGUUAAUUAAGUUGGAUGUGAAAUCCCCGGGCUUAACCUGGGAAUGGCAUUCAAGACUGGUUAGCUAGAGUCUUGUAGAGGGGGUAGAAUUCCAUGUGUAGCGGUGAAAUGCGUAGAGAUGUGGAGGAAUACCGGUGGCGAAGGCGGCCCCUGGGACAAAGACUGACGCUCAUGUGCGAAAGCGUGGGGAGCGAAACAGGGAUUAGAU
rnacentral:rRNA from 1 species